GACGAACGCUGGCGGCGUGCUUAACACAUGCAAGUCGAACGGAAAGGCCCUGCUUUUGUGGGGUGCUCGAGUGGCGAACGGGUGAGUAACACGUGAGUAACCUGCCCUGGACUUUGGGAUAACUUCAGGAAACUGGGGCUAAUACCGGAUAGGAGCUCCUGCUGCAUGGUGGGGGUUGGAAAGUUUCGGUGGUUGGGGAUGGACACGCGGCUUAUCAGCUUGUUGGUGGGGUAGUGGCUUACCAAGGCUGGGACGGGUAGCCGGCCUGAGAGGGUGGCCGGCCACAUUGGGACUGAGAUGCGGCCCAGACUCCUACGGGAGGCAGCAGUGGAGAGUAUUGCACAAUGGGCGGAAGCCUGAUGCAGCAACGCCGCGUGCGGGAUGACAGCCUUCGGGUUGUGAACCGCUUUCGCCUGUGACGAAGCGUGAGUGACGGUAAUGGGUGAAGAAGCACCGGCUAACUACGUG
rnacentral:rRNA from 1 species